AGAAUGAUGGUUAGACUCCGGAGAGGGAGCCCUUAGAAACGACUACUACAUCCAAAGAAGGCAGCGGACGCAAAACCCAUCCAAUUUUGAGGUCAUGCAGUGACUAGAACUAAAAGUAUAUCUCUACGGAAAGGUCAUCUCAAUAAGUCAAUCAUAAAUCUUAUUUCGAGUAUGGAAUGGUGGCAAGUCUCCUGCCAGUAGCUUCGAUAACUCUAGCUCCACUAGUGUAAAUCGUUACUGCUGCGGUUAAAAAGCUCUUAGUUGGAUCUGAGUUACACGUAAUGUUUCGCCUUUGGCGUUAUCGUGUGUGUAUGCCUCUUUUCUACCAGAGUUUCGACCUUUCUAGUGACUAGUGAGUUUACCUUGAAUAAAUUAAAAUGCUGAAAACAAGUGCUUGCUUAAAUUGCUGAUCAUAAAGUAAUAGAAGAGACUUCGGUUCUAUUAAUCAAUUCAAAAAUUGGAAUAAUGUUUGACAUGGACAAUUCGGGGCAUUCGUAUUCCUGCGCGAGUGUCGAAAUUUGUGAACGUAAACUAUGUUAUCUAGCAGUUCGAUGGGGUACUAAUAAUAAGCCGUAGUCAAGCAGCUUCCAAGACACGAAAGUCUUUUGGUUCUUCUGAUAGUAUGGUUGCAACGCUAAAAUUUGGGGAAAUUGACGGAAUAGCAAUACCAGGAGUAGAGCCUGCGGCUUAAUUUGACUCAACACGGCCAAACUCAUCUGGCCCGGAUGCGGAAAAGAUUGACAGGUUAAAGUUGCGCAACUAAACCCGCAUUUGGACACUAAAAUUGGGCAACUCGACCGACUUUACUUUUAAUACUAAAGUGUUGCUGGUACUAGACGGUUUUAGUUAUCAAUCCAAUAUAUAAUCUUAAGAAUUAUCCACCUUCUGUCCUUAACAUUGCGCGAGUAAGCCAGACUUAAUUCAUUAAAAUUGAUCAGUCAGACCGUUUUAAUGGUUUUUACACUAUAGUGUUCAUCA
rnacentral:ncRNA from 1 species